UAGGGAAUCUUCCGCCUUGGACGCAAGUCUGACGGAGCAACGCCGCGUGAGUGACCAAGGUUUUCGGAUCGUAAAACUCUGUUGUUAGAGAAGAACAAGUGCUAUAGUAACUGUUAGCGCCUUGACGGUAUCUAACCAGAAAGCCACGGCUAACUACGUGCCAGCAGCCGCGGUAAUACGUAGGUGGCAAGCGUUGUCCGGAUUUAUCGGGCGUAAAGCGAGCGCAGGCGGUUCCUUAAGUCUGAUGUGAAAGCCCCCGGCUCAACCGGGGAGGGUCAUUGGAAACUGGGGAACUUGAGUGCAGAAGAGGAGAGUGGAAUUCCAUGUGUAGCGGUGAAAUGCGUAGAUAUAUGGAGGAACACCAGUGGCGAAGGCGACUCUCUGGUCUGUAACUGACGCUGAGGCUCGAAAGCGUGGGUAGCAAACAGGAUUAGAUACCCUGGUAGUCCACGCCGUAAACGAUGAGUGCUAAGUGUUGGAGGGUUUCCGCCCUUCAGUGCUGCAGUUUAACGCAUUAAAGCACUCCGCCUGGGGAGUACGACCGCAAGGUUGA
rnacentral:rRNA from 1 species